UCAGGGGGAGGGGGGUCCCUCAACCUGGAUUGUAAGAGGGCACAGGCCAGGCCAAGGGACCCCACUGGUGCACA
rnacentral:pre_miRNA from 1 species